rnacentral:rRNA from 1 species
GACGAACGCUGGCGGCGUGCCUAAUACAUGCAAGUCGAACGCACUCUCGUUUAGAUUGAAGGAGCUUGCUCCUGAUUGAUAAACAUUUGAGUGAGUGGCGGACGGGUGAGUAACACGUGGGUAACCUGCCCUAAAGUGGGGGAUAACAUUUGGAAACAGAUGCUAAUACCGCAUAAAACCUAACACCGCAUGGUGUAGGGUUGAAAGAUGGUUUCGGCUAUCACUUUAGGAUGGACCCGCGGUGCAUUAGUUAGUUGGUGAGGUAAAGGCUCACCAAGACCGUGAUGCAUAGCCGACCUGAGAGGGUAAUCGGCCACACUGGGACUGAGACACGGCCCAGACUCCUACGGGAGGCAGCAGUAGGGAAUCUUCCACAAUGGACGAAAGUCUGAUGGAGCAACGCCGCGUGAGUGAAGAAGGUUUUCGGAUCGUAAAACUCUAGUUGUUGGAGAAGAAUGUAUCUGAUAGUAACUGAUCAGGUAGUGACGGUAUCCAACCAGAAAGCCACGG